rnacentral:rRNA from 1 species
AGAGUUUGAUCAUGGCUCAGAUUGAACGCUGGCGGCAUGCCUUACACAUGCAAGUCGAACGGCAGCGCGGACUUCGGUCUGGCGGCGAGUGGCGAACGGGUGAGUAAUACAUCGGAACGUACCCUGUUGUGGGGGAUAACUAGUCGAAAGAUUAGCCAAUACCGCAUACGACCUGAGGGUGAAAGUGGGGGACCGCAAGGCCUCACGCAGCAGGAGCGGCCGAUGUCUGAUUAGCUAGUUGGAGGGGUAAAGGCCCACCAAGGCGACGAUCAGUAGCUGGUCUGAGAGGACGAUCAGCCACACUGGGACUGAGACACGGCCCAGACUCCUACGGGAGGCAGCAGUGGGGAAUUUUGGACAAUGGGGGCAACCCUGAUCCAGCAAUGCCGCGUGUGUGAAGAAGGCCUUCGGGUUGUAAAGCACUUUUGUCCGGAAAGAAAUCGCGCUGGUUAAUACCUGGCGUGGAUGACGGUACCGGAAGAAUAAGCACCGGCUAACUACGUG